rnacentral:rRNA from 1 species
UACGUAGGGCGCAAGCGUUGUCCGGAAUUAUUGGGCGUAAAGAGCGUGUAGGCGGUUCGGUAAGUCUGCCGUGAAAACCUGAGGCUCAACCUUGGGCGUGCGGUGGAUACUGCCGGGCUAGAGGACGGUAGAGGCGAGUGGAAUUCCCGGUGUAGCGGUGAAAUGCGCAGAUAUCAGGAAGAACACCAAUGGCGAAAGCAGCUUUCUGGGACGGUACUGACGCUGAGACGCGAAAGCGUGGGGAGCGAACAGG